AGAGUUUGAUCCUGGCUCAGGACGAACGCUGGCGGCGUGCCUAACACAUGCAAGUCGAGCGGGAGACUUCGGUCUCCAGCGGCGGACGGGUGAGUAACACGUGGGUAACCUGCCUCAUAGAGGGGGAUAGCCUCCCGAAAGGGAGAUUAAUACCGCAUAACAUCACAGUACUGCAUGGUACAGUGAUUAAAGGAGCAAUCCGCUAUGAGAUGGACCCGCGGCGCAUUAGCUAGUUGGUGAGGUAACGGCUCACCAAGGCCACGAUGCGUAGCCGACCUGAGAGGGUGAUCGGCCACAUUGGAACUGAGACACGGUCCAGACUCCUACGGGAGGCAGCAGUGGGGAAUAUUGCACAAUGGGCGAAAGCCUGAUGCAGCAACGCCGCGUGGAGGAUGAAGGCCUUCGGGUUGUAAACUCUUGUCUUCUGGGACGAUAAUGACGGUACCAGAGGAGGAAGCCACGGCUAACUACGUG
rnacentral:rRNA from 1 species